AUGCUUCUGCUUUCAGCUCUGAGGAGGCUGAGCUCUUGUGCUGGCAAGUGCUUGUGCACUGGCAGAAGUGCUUUGGAGGGGUGGCCAAGAGGAAAAGCGUUCUUUCAGAAAAAAAAGAUCUUACAGCUAUUCUUCCCUUGCCAGAUUUAUAAAAUUUCAGCAGUUCUCCACAGCCCAGUGAAAUCAUCACAGAUCCAUUUUAUUCAGCUGAUUCUUGCUGCUCUGUGUUCCUGUUUUGAGCUAUGGACCGACCUUCUGGGCUGA
rnacentral:lncRNA from 1 species